CGAAGGCCCCGUGGCGUCUGGGAGCAGCUGGAGGCUGAUAAUUCAGGACUCUCUGCGGAUUUUUGCGCCCCGGCAGGUCCUGCUGUUGUUUUACAAGCGAAUGGAGAGAAUGAGCUUGUCAGGGCGGAAGAUUCCUGGAUGUUGUGCUGUUGUGUGAGAUACUGUUUGCUAUAAAACAGUCGGACAUUCCUGUGGGGCUGGAGCCGGUCCGAGGCCACGGAGCUGGCCCUACCGGCCAUAUAUCUCCGGGCCGCUUCAGGCAGGAGACAACUGAGAUAAUAAAGACGCGAUCGUCUGGGCA